CAGGUGCAUUCAGUUCCGGACCCAGGAAUCCAACCAGUGUCUCUGAGUCUCCCGCAUUGCAGGCCAAUUCUUUACCACUGAGCUUCCAGGGAAGCCCAUGAUCAAUUAGUCACUGUCAGUAUUGAGGGUGAUGUUAUUUGCAUAUCUGCUGCUGCUGCUGCUGCUAAGUCACUUCAGUCAUGCCCAACUCUGUGCUACCCCAUAGACGGCAGCCCACCAGGCUCCCCCACCCCUGGGAUUCUCCAGCGGGAGAGAAGCGUUUUCUCUUUGACAAAUUAUUUUCUGAAGUCCAACAUGUCGUCAGGUUCUCCCUACCCAGGUGAGGAUGCGUGAGGCUCCGUGUUCCCCGGCAGACUGGAGGGCGCCAGCCUUGCCCACCCACCAGCAGCAGCAGAACAACGCACAGGGCCUUUGGAAGGCGGCUUUUCAGCUCCACGCAUAUUUCAGAGCUGCUCUUGAGGCAGGAAUCGGAGUUCUUGUCCACAGAGUGGAAGAAUGGAAUCCGCAAACACACAGACACUCACGGUGGCAAGCGAACAGGAUUUAUUAAAGAGGAGGAAAGUAUAAACCUCCCAGCACAGACACGGAGAGGGGGUGAAGAGUCCCCCACAAGGCAGAUUCUUAACGACUGGACCAAGGGGAAGUCUUGUGGAUAGGCAUUUUAUGAUUUUAACAUUAAAAUAUUUGAUUACAUUCUGUUGAAAUAUCCUGUGAUGUUACAUGUCUAUAUGUGGAGAAGCCAUCCAAGGGAAUUCUCUAUGCACUUUUGUUUUCAAUUUUUUACUUUGGUAAUGGGUUUGGACAAACAUGAAAACAACAGGUUUAUAAAGAAACACUUAUUUAAAAAAUUUUACAACUUACAACAGUUCUCUUUUUUCACUAUUUUGUCAUAUUGGUUGUUAAGCAUUUUAACUUAUUAUAUAAUGGCAAAGCAUAGAGAGGUGUAAAGGAUGAUGUAAUAAACAUUCAUGAACUAGUUUUGAUAUUUGUUAAAUCUUUGUCAAAUUCAAUACUUUAGUUUUUUAAAAAUGCUUUAAAUUCUUUCUUUCUAAAAUAUGUAUUAAAGUUUCAUGUGAAGCCCACUGUGUAUACCUCCAAAUACUCUCUUAUCUCCUCCUCUCUAUAAGUAGACCCACUAUCCUAUGUUUCAAAUGUGGGAUUUCUAUGAGCACUUUUAUAACUGUAUUCUAUAUGAACAGUUCUAUAA
ensembl:lncRNA